UAGGGAAUUUUGGACAAUGGGCGAAAGCCUGAUCCAGCCAUGCCGCGUGCGGGAAGAAGGCCUUCGGGUUGUAAACCGCUUUUGUCAGGGAAGAAAUCUUUCGAGCUAAUAUCUUGAGAGGAUGACGGUACCUGAAGAAUAAGCACCGGCUAACUACGUGCCAGCAGCCGCGGUAAUACGUAGGGUGCAAGCGUUAAUCGGAAUUACUGGGCGUAAAGCGUGCGCAGGCGGUUGCGCAAGACAGGUGUGAAAUCCCCGGGCUUAACCUGGGAACUGCACUUGUGACUGCACAGCUGGAGUACGGCAGAGGGGGAUGGAAUUCCGCGUGUAGCAGUGAAAUGCGUAGAUAUGCGGAGGAACACCGAUGGCGAAGGCAGUCCCCUGGGCCUGUACUGACGCUCAUGCACGAAAGCGUGGGGAGCAAACAGGAUUAGAUACCCUGGUAGUCCACGCCCUAAACGAUGUCAACUGGUUGUUGGGAAGGUUUCUUCUCAGUAACGUAGCUAACGCGUGAAGUUGACCGCCUGGGGAGUACGGCCGCAAGGUUGA
rnacentral:rRNA from 1 species